rnacentral:rRNA from 1 species
UACGUACCGUCCAAACGUUAUUCGGAAUUACUGGGCUUAAAGGGUUUGUAGGCGGCGCUGUUAGUCGGGUGUGAAAUCCCCGGGCUCAACCCGGGAACUGCGUCCGAUACUGGCAGGCUUGAAUUCGGGAGAGGGAUGCGGAAUUCCAGGUGUAGCGGUGAAAUGCGUAGAUAUCUGGAGGAACACCGGUGGCGAAGGCGGCAUCCUGGACCGAAAUUGACGCUGAGGCGCGAAAGCGUGGGGAGCAAACAGG